rnacentral:rRNA from 1 species
UACGAAGGGGGCUAGCGUUGCUCGGAAUCACUGGGCGUAAAGGGCGCGUAGGCGGCCAUUCAAGUCGGGGGUGAAAGCCUGUGGCUCAACCACAGAAUUGCCUUCGAUACUGUUUGGCUUGAGUUUGGUAGAGGUUGGUGGAACUGCGAGUGUAGAGGUGAAAUUCGUAGAUAUUCGCAAGAACACCAGUGGCGAAGGCGGCCAACUGGACCAAUACUGACGCUGAGGAGCGAAAGCGUGGGGAGCGAACAGG